ACUCCGCAGUUAAGCGUGCU
rnacentral:snRNA from 1 species